rnacentral:rRNA from 1 species
CAGUCGCCGCGGUAAUACGUAGGGCGCGAGCGUUAAUCGGAAUUACUGGGCGUAAAGCGUGCGCAGGCGGUUGUGUAAGACAGGUGUGAAAUCCCCGGGCUUAACCUGGGAACUGCGCUUGUGACUGCACAGCUAGAGUAUGGCAGAGGGGGGUGGAAUUCCACGUGUAGCAGUGAAAUGCGUAGAGAUGUGGAGGAACACCGAUGGCGAAGGCAGCCCCCUGGGCCAAUACUGACGCUCAUGCACGAAAGCAUGGGGAGCAAACAGGAUUAGAUACCCGUGUAGUCCCUGUCUCUUAUAC